rnacentral:misc_RNA from 1 species
GGAGUAAAAGUCGUAACAAGGUUUCCGUAGGUGAACCUGCGGAAGGAUCAUUGUUGUAUAACCGAGGUGCGAGGGCUGUCGCUGACCCGAAAGGUCGUGCACGCCCGAGUGCCCUCACACACAUCCAUCUCACCCCUAUGUGCACCACCGCGUGGGUCCCCCUUUGGCUUGUUCGGAGGGGGGCUUACGUUUUCACACAAACUUUGUAUGCAGUGUAGAAUGUAUUUUUUGUUUUUGCGAUCACGCAAUCAAUACAACUUUCAACAACGGAUCUCUUGGCUCUC